rnacentral:rRNA from 1 species
CCCGGGCCUUGUACACACCGCCCGUCACACCAUGGGAGUUGGUUUUACCCGAAGACGGUGCGCUAACCGCAAGGGAGCAGCCGGCCACGGUAGGGUCAGCGACUGGGGUG